GUCCUUGUUGGUACAAUUUCCACUGAUGAAGGAAUGUUAUAAAAACAUCUUCAUGGAUCUCAAACCAUUCCUUAACCUUGUCUACAAAAUCGAAUUCUUCCUGAGACUGAAACAAAAGCUCCUGAUAAUCAUCAUGGAUGUUGUCAUCUCCCUUGGACAAGAAAGGGUUACAAUUGUUUGGCUUCAUUCUUUUCGAAUUUC
rnacentral:misc_RNA from 1 species